UUAACGUUGGCGGCGUGCUUAAGACAUGCAAGUCGAACGGUAAGGCCCCUUCGGGGGUACACGAGUGGCGCACGGGUGAGUAACGCGUGGGUAACCUACCCUUGGGUCUGGGACAACUCCGGGAAACUGGAGCUAAUACCGGAUAAGACCACGAGGUCUUCGGGCCUCGCGGAAAAAGGUGGCCUCUUCUUGAAAGCUACCGCCCAUUGAUGAGCCCGCGUCCCAUUAGCUUGUUGGUGAGGUAACGGCUCACCAAGGCGACGAUGGGUAGCUGGUCUGAGAGGAUGAUCAGCCACACUGGAACUGAGACACGGUCCAGACUCCUACGGGAGGCAGCAGUCGGGAAUCUUGGGCAAUGGGGCAACCCUGACCCAGCAACGCCGCGUGAGGGAUGAAGGCCCUAGGGUCGUAAACCUCUGUCGGGAGGGAAGAAUUCGUUCGGGGGUGAACAACCCCCGGAGUUGACGGUACCUCCAAAGGAAGCGCCGGCUAACUCCGUG
rnacentral:rRNA from 1 species